ACGCUGGCGGCGUGCCUAUACAUGCAGUCGAACGCUUCUUUCCUCCCGAGUGCUUGCACUCAAUUGGAAAGAGGAGUGGCGGACGGGUGAGUAACACGUGGGUAACCUACCCAUCAGAGGGGGAUAACACUUGGAAACAGGUGCUAAUACCGCAUAACAGUUUAUGCCGCAUGGCAUAAGAGUGAAAGGCGCUUUCGGGUGUCGCUGAUGGAUGGACCCGCGGUGCAUUAGCUAGUUGGUGAGGUAACGGCUCACCAAGGCCACGAUGCAUAGCCGACCUGAGAGGGUGAUCGGCCACACUGGGACUGAGACACGGCCCAGACUCCUACGGGAGGCAGCAGUAGGGAAUCUUCGGCAAUGGACGAAAGUCUGACCCGAGCAACGCCGCGUGAGUGAAGAAAGUUUUCGGAUCGUAAAACUCUGUUGUGUAGAGAAGAACAAGGACGUUAGUAACUGAACGUCCCCUGACGGUAUCUAACCAGAAAGGCACGGCUAACUACGUGGCCAGCAGACGCGGUAAUACGUAGUGGCAAGCGUUGUCCGGAUUUAUUGGGGCGUAAAGCGAGCGCAAGCGCUUCUUAAGUCUGAUGUGAAAGCCCCCGGCUCACCGGGGAGGGUCAUUGGGAAUCUGGGAGACUUGAGUGCAGAAGAGGAGGAGUGGAAUUCCCAUGUGUAGCGGUGAAAUGCGUAGAUAUAUGGAGGAACACCAGUGGCGAAGGCGGCUCUCUUGUCUGGUAACUGACGCUGAGGCUCGAAAGCGUGGGGGAGCAAACAGGAUUAAGAUACCUGGUAGUCCACGCGGUAAACGAUGAGUGCUAAGUGUUGGAGGGUUUCCGCCUUUCAGUGCUGCAGCAGUAACGCAUUAAGCACUCCGCUGGGGAGUACGACCCGCAAGGUUGAAACUCAAAGGAAUUGACGGGGGCCCGCACAAGCGGUGGAGCAUGUGGUUUAAUUCGAAGCAACGCGAAGAACCUUACCAGGUCUUGACAUCCUUUGACCACUCUAGAGAUAGAGCUUUCCCUUCGGGGACAAAGUGACAGGUGGUGCAUGGUUGUCGUCAGCUCGUGUCGUGAGAUGUUGGGUUAAGUCCCGCAACGAGCGCAACCCUUAUUGUUAGUUGCCAUCAUUUAGUUGGGCACUCUAGCGAGACUGCCGGUGACAAACCGGAGGAAGGUGGGGAUGACGUCAAAUCAUCAUGCCCCUUAUGACCUGGGCUACACACGUGCUACAAUGGGAAGUACAACGAGUCGCUAGACCGCGAGGUCAUGCAAAUCUCUUAAAGCUUCUCUCAGUUCGGAUUGCAGGCUGCAACUCGCCUGCAUGAAGCCGGAAUCGCUAGUAAUCGCGGAUCAGCACGCCGCGGUGAAUACGUUCCCGGGCCUUGUACACACCGCCCGUCACACCACGAGAGUUUGUAACACCCGAAGUCGGUGAGGUAACCUUUUUGGAGCCAGCCGCCUAAGGUGGGAUAGAUGA
rnacentral:rRNA from 1 species